rnacentral:rRNA from 1 species
UACAGAGGGGGCAAGCGUUAUUCGGAAUUAUUGGGCGUAAAGGGCGCGUAGGCGGCCAUUCAAGUGACGGGUGAAAGCCCUCGGCUUAACCGAGGAACUACCUGUCAGACUGGAUGGCUUGAGACCGGGAGAGGUGAGUGGAAUUCCCAGUGUAGCGGUGAAAUGCGUAGAUAUUGGGAGGAACACCAGUGGCGAAGGCGGCUCACUGGACCGGAACUGACGCUGAGGCGCGAAAGCGUGGGGAGCAAACAGG